UUGCAUACACGCAGGCGCCGGCCUUCUUCUCGAGCAGUUUAAGGGGAAGUGGACACACACACACAGAACACACGCACGUACGCUCUCGAACGGCCUCCCAGUGAGACAGAGAGGCAGCGACAAUCCGCAAUUGGAUACGCCUUUCCACGCCCGAACCGCAACCGAACGGUCGGCAAGGAUAGACGGUGUUGUGACAGAACAGCCUCACAGUGACCAGUGUGUAACGGUAUGCCGAGCAGGGCGGUGUGUGUGUGUCUGUCUGUGUAUGCUGCUAUUCGUUCGCCGACACUGAGUGCUUUUCAGAGAGGAUUUUUUUUUUAUUUCGGGUGGAAUUUAAAAUAAGCGAUAAAGCGAUGUGUCAAAUAUGGAUAAUGUAGAACUCAAUCAAUUCGACAACUUAAGAGCAUGAAUUAAGGUCAAAUAUUGUCGAACCGGACCGAUCCUUCGAACCGGUACAGCGGAUAACGGAUGGCAGGAAGUGCACAUUGCGCUCUCGAAGGAAGAAGAGGAAGAAAAAACCAACCCAGCAAAAAGAAUCACACUGUAGCCCUUUCUAUCGCUGAAAUCCUUUCUCACUUGCCAACUGACAACAAAAAAAGAAGGUUGAAAAAAGGGGUCUCAAACGAUUGUAAUUAAUUAUAAUUUCUAGCCCGCUAUCUCGACUGCAGCAGACGUUUGUGUCGGUGUGGAUAAUUUCUUGUAUCGUCGCUAGAGCUGUUUGCUUCUUGGCCGUUUUUUUUUCUUUGGUGUCUUCCUUUUCUGCUCUCCAGUUGUUUUCCGUUGUUGGUCAUUAAAUUGUUCAUUUUGUCUGCUCUAGCUUCAUGUUGGUUCGUAAUAAAUGAUACACUAUUCGAUUUCGAAAGGGGACCACUGCACAUCGUAUUGGGAGGAUGAAAAUUGAAAUUUGUAAUUUUUAAUAAACAUUCACAGCAUUCGCAAGACGAGUUGGUGAGCGGCCAGGCUGCAUUCCAAUGCAAUAAACCUUGAACGCACAGAGUCUUGAACUGUUACCGGUUGCUAGGCAAUGAAGUGAAGAAAAUAGCUCCUCUGCAAUCAACUCGUACACAAAGACACAAUGCUUCAUUAUCACUGUCCGAUGGAUUUCCAGCGACUUUCGCCACCGCUGUCCCGUGUCCGAGGUCCGCACGGCGCAGAGCAAAGUCACCCCCGCUUUGUGACGAACAUCAUUAAUAGAAUGAUCACUUUAAUUAUUUACCAUAAAUUUUUCGGGAGCGCUUUUCCAUUAAUUUUCCACCCAGCGUGUAUCGGUACCGUGUAAAGCGUCAUCGCAGGGAACGACAGGAUUGAUAGAGUGAAUUUGAUGGCAAAAAAAGGCAAACGAUGGCGGCUGACCGAAGCUGGCUGGUGGUGUGCAUAAUUAAUUAUUAAACCCGCACCUUCAAUUACAGCUGAUCGAUUUUUCGGGCUACAACCACUCAAAUCAAAGCCCAGCAGGGGAUUGAGCGAUGUGACCAUACAAAAAAAAAA